rnacentral:rRNA from 1 species
AUUGAACGCUGGCGGCAUGCUUUACACAUGCAAGUCGAACGGCAGCACGGGUGCUUGCACCUGGUGGCGAGUGGCGGACGGGUGAGUAAUGCAUCGGAACGUGUCCUGAAGUGGGGGAUAACGCAUCGAAAGAUGUGCUAAUACCGCAUAUUCUCUGAGGAGGAAAGUAGGGGAUCGAAAGACCUUAUGCUUUUGGAGCGGCCGAUGUCUGAUUAGCUAGUUGGUAGGGUAAUGGCUUACCAAGGCGACGAUCAGUGGUUGGUCUGAGAGGACGACCAGCCACACUGGGACUGAGACACGGCCCAGACUCCUACGGGAGGCAGCAGUGGGGAAUUUUGGACAAUGGGCGCAAGCCUGAUCCAGCAAUGCCGCGUGAGUGAAGAAGGCCUUCGGGUUGUAAAGCUCUUUCAGUUGAGAAGAAAAAGUCGUGACUAAUAAUCAUGAUUCAUGACGGUAUCAACAGAAGAAGCACCGGCUAACUACGUG